AUUGAACGCUGGCGGCAGGCCUAACACAUGCAAGUCGAACGAGUGGCGGACGGGUGAGUAAUGUCUGGGAAACUGCCCGAUGGAGGGGGAUAACUCUGGAAACGGUGGCUAAUACCGCAUACCAUCGGAUGUGCCCAGAGUGGGUUAGCUUGGAGGGUGGGUAACGGCUCACCUAGGCGACGAUCCCUUGCUGGUCUGAGAGGAUGACCAGCCACACUGGAACUGAGACACGGUCCAGAAUCCUACGGGAGGCAGCAGUGGGGAAUAUUGCACAAGGGGCGCAAGCCUGAUGCAGCCAUGCCGCGUGUAUGAAGAAGGCCUUCGGGUUGUAAAGUACUUUCAGCGAGGAGGCGUUACCCGCAGAAGAAGCACCGGCUAACUCCGUGCCAGCAGCCGCGGUAAUUC
rnacentral:rRNA from 1 species